AUACGGAGGGUGCGAGCGUUAAUCGGAAUUACUGGGCGUAAAGCGUACGUAGGCGGUUGGUUAAGUUAGAUGUGAGAGCCCCGGGCUUAACCUGGGAACUGCAUUUAAAACUGGCGAACUAGAGUUGAGUAGAGGGGAGUGGAAUUUCAGGUGUAGCGGUGAUAUGCGUAGAGAUCUGAAGGAACACCAGUGGCGAAGGCGACUCCCUGGACUCGAACUGACGCUGAGGUACGAAAGCGUGGGUAGCAAACGGGAUUAGAAACCCUAGUAGUCC
rnacentral:rRNA from 1 species